rnacentral:rRNA from 1 species
GACGAACGCUGGCGGCGUGCUUAACACAUGCAAGUCGAACGGUGAAAGCGGAGCUUGCUCCGCUGGAUCAGUGGCGAACGGGUGAGUAACACGUGGGCAACCUGCCCCUCACUUCGGGAUAACUCCGGGAAACCGGGGCUAAUACCGGAUAUGACCUCCUUGGGCAUCCUUGGUGGUGGAAAGCUUUUCGGUGAGGGAUGGGCCCGCGGCCUAUCAGCUUGUUGGUGAGGUAGUGGCUCACCAAGGCGACGACGGGUAGCCGGCCUGAGAGGGCGACCGGCCACACUGGGACUGAGACACGGCCCAGACUCCUACGGGAGGCAGCAGUGGGGAAUAUUGCGCAAUGGGCGAAAGCCUGACGCAGCAACGCCGCGUGCGGGAUGACGGCCUUCGGGUUGUAAACCGCUUUCAGCAGGGAAGAGGCCGCAAGGUGACGGUACCUGCAGAAGAAGCACCGGCUAACUACGUGCCAGCAGCCGCCGCAGUAA